rfam:Lupinus angustifolius cultivar Tanjil chromosome LG09, whole genome shotgun sequence.
AUACUUACCUGUAUGGGGUUAAUGGGUGAUCAAGAAGACCCAUGGCCUAGGGUAGUGACCUCCAUUGCACAUGGGAGGGGUGUUAUCUGAAGGUCUACCCAAGUGGUGGAGCCUACAUCAUAAUUUGUGGCAGUGGGGGCCAGUGUUCGCGCGGCCCCUCU